rnacentral:rRNA from 1 species
UACGUAGGGGGCAAGCGUUGUCCGGAUUUAUUGGGCGUAAAGAGCGUGUAGGCGGCCAUACAGGUCCGUUGUGAAAACUGGAGGCUUAACCUCCAGACGUCGAUGGAAACCGUAUGGCUAGAGUCCGGAAGAGGAGAGUGGAAUUCCUGGUGUAGCGGUGAAAUGACGCAGAUAUCGGGAGGAACACCUAUGGCGAAGGCAGCUCGCUGGGACGUUACUGACGCUGAGACGCGAAAGCGUGGGGAGCAAACAGG